rnacentral:rRNA from 1 species
CCUACGGGUGGCUGCAGUGGGGAAUAUUGGACAAUGGGGGGAACCCUGAUCCAGCCAUGCCGCGUGUGUGAAGAAGGCCCUCGGGUUGUAAAGCACUUUCAGUGAGGAAGAACGCCUGGUGGUUAAUACCCAUCAGGAAAGACAUCACUCACAGAAGAAGCACCGGCUAACUCCGUGCCAGCAGCCGCGGUAAUACGGAGGGUGCGAGUGUUAAUCGGAAUUACUGGGCGUAAAGCGCGCGUAGGUGGCUUGAUAAGCCGGUUGUGAAAGCCCCGGGCUCAACCUGGGAACGGCAUCCGGAACUGUCAAGCUAGAGUGCAGGAGAGGAAGGUAGAAUUCCCGGUGUAGCGGUGAAAUGCGUAGAGAUCGGGAGGAAUACCAGUGGCGAAGGCGGCCUUCUGGACUGACACUGACACUGAGGUGCGAAAGCGUGGGUAGCAAACAGGAUUAGAUACCCUGGUAGUC